CACAGAGGUCAGAGGUCACUCAGGGGCAGGAGACCCCUCACCUCCCAGGGAGAUGGCCUUCCAUGUCAACGGGCAUAAAAACAUCAAAACACCCUUCAUAUCAAGAUGUCCAGGAGGCCAAGACAGCAGUGUGCCCUUCAUCUAUUCACUGUGGUGCUUGAGAAGGAGAGAAUGGCACUCUGGGAGAGCAAGGAGUCUCAGCUUGUGGGAGAAGAAGGAGAAUGGACAGAAGAUGAAUGAGCCUUCUGAGUCAAGACACCCAGAGAGUCACAAGGAAGCUCCAAGAGCUCAAUACAGAGACCAAUUAAACAAUAACUGCAAGUUAAUGACCAACAGAAGGUGGGAUGCUGGGGGAGUAAGGGAUGAGGAAGAUGAGUCAGUGAGUGGAUCUGAGAGUCUGACAGAAGAGCACAUUGCCAUUGCAAGAGUCCUUUGUCAUUCAGGAAUAAAGGGAGCGGUGGGCUUCACCCAUCAGGUUGCUCUAGUCACCUGGAGUCUAUGCCACCCAGCAGGACACGCUUUCAUCUUUUGUUGUGGAGCAGGGAAUGGGCGGCGUUUUUGCCAUGCAGCUGGUUUAGGCGGUCCGUUCCCAAACCUUGCCUCCACCCCAUGCAGCCUCACCAACCCCCAAAUUCAACCAGCGCACACUAACUCGCCACACGGCCCUUCUGAAGUUAGCACGCUUCAGGUCAGUGAAUUCUAAACACACAGACAAUGUAUCUCCUCAGCACG
rnacentral:lncRNA from 1 species